CGGAGGAUCCAAGCGUUAUCCGGAUUUAUUGGGUUUAAAGGGUGCGUAGGUGGCCUGUUAAGUCAGGGGUGAAAGACGGUAGCCCAACUAUCGCAGUGCCCUUGAUACUGAUGGGCUUGAAUGAACUAGAGGUAGGCGGAAUGUGACAAGUAGCGGUGAAAUGCAUAGAUAUGUCACAGAACACCAAUUGCGAAGGCAGCUUACUAUGGUUUUAUUGACACUGAGGCACGAAAGCGUGGGGAUCAAACAGGAUUAGAUACCCUGGUAGUCCACGCCCUAAACGAUGAAUACUCGAUGUUGGCGAUAUACGGUCAGCGUCUAAGCGAAAGCGUUAAGUAUUCCACCUGGGGAGUACGCCCGCAAGGGUG
rnacentral:rRNA from 1 species